UUGGAGAAGCUAUCAUCAUUCCUGCUGGAUGUCCAUACCAGAUUAGGAAUUCUAAGGUCUCAACUAACUUUAGUAUUUAACAUUUUCCCACCUGAUCUGUCUCUUCUAGUCAAUUAAGACAGCAAAAUAUUCCAACUGUUCUUGAAUAUACACUUCGAAAUUAUAGACUUCUGGUCAAUUUAGACAGAAAAAUAUUAUCUCAAUUUGAUUUAGAUAACACAUAACUUCAUAUUAAGUUUUAAAUUGAAUGGAUAUAUGACAAGUAAUUCAUUCUUGACCUGCAGUAUUGUGUUCAAGUGGUAUUGGAAUUUAUGUCUUCUGAGAGUGUUGCUGAGUGUAUCCAAUUGACUGAUGAGAUCCAUCUGCUUCCAGAAAACCACAAAGCAAAAGUAGACAAGAUUGAGGUGAACUGCAU
rnacentral:lncRNA from 1 species